AGUCACUGACAUUAGAUACCCGGGUAGUCCAGGGUGUAAACGCUGCAGACUUGGUGUUGGAGGCCCUUUGGGGGCAUUCAGUGCCGGAGAGAAGUUGUUAAGUCUGCUACUUGGGGAGUACGUCCGCAAGGAUGAAACUUAAAGGAAUUGGCGGGGGAGCACCGCAACGGGAGGAGCGUGCGGUUUAAUUGGAUUCAACACCGUAAACUCACCAGGGAAGACUGUUACAUGAAGGCCGAGAUGAAGACUCUGCUAGAUUUUCAG
rnacentral:rRNA from 1 species